rnacentral:lncRNA from 1 species
AUUAAGGACUUGAUGUAGAAAAAAAUUUUAAGUUAUGAAUUAGAAAUCGUAAAUUAUUAGGAAGUGAAAAAUUAUUGAUUUAAACAAAGUAGAUUAAUCAAGUGACAAUGAAUUAAUUUUCAUUUUUAUGAAGAAACUAUCUUUGCAAAUCAGAUGACUGAUAUAGAUUAAUGCAGAUAAUGUGAACAUUUUUAAAACAAGGGAAACUUAUGCUGCAAUUUUUUUCAUAAAAUUGUUAUAAAAUAUGAGAAUUUAAAUCCUAAGGCUAGUUAUCUGAAUAGCAUUGAAAAUGUGAAUUAUAAAUAUUUUAUCGGUUUUUGAACAUAUGUAGAUAUUAGUAAUUGCUUUCACAUCUAUUAAAGUUUAAAUUUGUUUUAUUUCCUGUAUACAGGGGGUUCUGUUUGCAACAAGAGUCCUUUCCUGAAGGAGCUAUCACAAAAGAACAGUGUAAAAUAGCCCAAUUACAUAAUGUAAAUCCAUAGGAAAUUAAUGAGUUAGAUUCUAGGCUUUCUCAGAACUGACAUAAAUAUUAAAGAAAAACAAAAGCACUAUAUGGCAGAUGAGUAUACACCAAAACAACUUUUAAUUGCAAACAUUUUCAGUAUACAAGACACCAUCAUCAGGCAAAACCUUGAACAAAAACAUAAAUAAUCAAACGUAAACAAUUUUUUAGAACAAAAAUCAAAAGUGGAUACUAUAGAUACAAAUAAAUAUUAAUGGGAGCAGGGAAGACUUCAUUAGCUUGCACUGUUCUAAAAAUGUUCAAAGUUUUGAACGUUCGAACUCUUUUCUGGAUAACUUUGAGAUAUUCUCUAGAGAGCUGGCUCUGCUCUUUUGUAGACAUAACUAAAGACUACUUUGACUGCCUUAAAACUCUACUAUUAAAGAAAAACAAAAGCACUCUACGGCAGAUGAGUAUAUACCAAAACAACUUUUAAUUGCAAACACUUUCAGUGUACAAGACGCCAUCAUCAGGCAAAACGUUGAACAAAAAUGAAAGAAUCGAACGUAAACAGUUUUUAG